rnacentral:rRNA from 1 species
GUCCGCUCUAUGAGCGCGUAUCUAGUUCGGCCUCGGCAUCCGCUCUGCAUACAUGUCCUUUCUUGAUUGCGUGGCGUGGAGGUAGGGCCUUUUACUUUGAGGAAAUUAGAGUGUUCACGGCAGGCAGUCGCCCUGAAUAUAUUAGCAUGGAAUAAUAAUAUAGGAUCUUGGUUCUAUUUUGUUGGUUUCUAGAGCUAGGAUAAUGAUUAAUAGGGACAAUUGGGGGCAUUCGUAUUGCGGUGUCAGAGGUGGAAUUCUUGGAUUACUGCACGACGAACUAUUUUUAAAGCAUUUGCCAAGGAUGUUUUCAUUGAUCAAGAACGAAAGUAAGGGGAUCGAAGACGAUUAGAUACCG